ensembl:lncRNA
CAUGAAACUUCAGAGGGAUUUGCUGAAGCUGAAUCUGAAAGUUGGUUAAAAGCAGAGUGUGAAAAUUCUCCAACCCCAAUAACAUCCACACCAAAUGAGGAAGAACCUCCAAGCUCAGUGUCAGAAGCUGAAGCCAUACUGGAAAUAUCUGAGGUGACUCACGGAGAUGACGUGAACGCUCGUACUGGACAUCAGAUCAUGAAGAGCACUAAACAGGAAAAUGAAGUCAAGUCAGUAGACAGGAAGUUCAUCCCGGAUGGAAACUUCUUAACAGUUGUGAAUGACAUUAAGGAGAAACAGCUUAAGAAGUGCUCUGAUGGCAGCCCCUCAGGUGAGAGUCAUGGUUUUCAGAAUCUCAACCAAACCAUCCUGAGAAACACCAACUUCAGUCAGAAAUGUAGGAGAAGAGAAGACAACCUCUUACAUAAAACAGACGAGAGACAGGAUCUCUAUCAAAUGCUUCUUGGUAGAAGUGUGGAAAAUGCCAACGAGCCAUUUAGUCAAGAAGAUACACCCACUGAGGGAAGCUCCUCAAAUUUAAGAGGAGAUCAUGUUGAAAACAUUAGUGAUCUCCUGGCUGAUACAGGUGACAUACAGAAUAAAGGCUCAAUCCUUCCUAACAGGUACGAGCCAGAUACUAGUAAAGUGUUUGACCAAGAGGGUAGGCCCUCAGAGGAGAACCCAUCAAUCACCUUUCAUAACCAGCAAAGAACAAGUGAGAUGUUCAGCCUGGAAGGUGGUCAGGAGAACCUGUUAAAUCUGCAGAGUCUCUGCCUAAACCCCCUGAGCACAUCUGAGACACUUCACCAAGAAAGCAGUCCCAAUCAGAACCUUCUUUCAUAUUCAGGAGAUCCUCAAGUUUCUCCACCUUUUCUCAAACAUCAUGUGGAAAACCCAAAUGAGUCAUUUGGUCAUGAAGGUAUUCACAGAGGAGAACAUCUCUCAGAUGUCUAUCCAAGCCUCCUCCAUAGCUCUGUGCUGAACACUAGUGACACACUUGUCCAAGAUGACCUCCUGAGAGAGGACCGACCUUCAUAUGCAAAACAUGAUGCAAAUAAUCUUUACCAAACUCUCCCCGGUAACAGUAUGAAAAACACAAGCGAGUCAUGUGACCAAGAGGAUGCGCUCGCUGAAAAGAACCUCUCGAGGGAUGUAAAUAAUCUUCAUCAUUCCUUCACUGUAACAGAUAUUAGAGAGUGUUUUGAUGAGAAAAGUGAGGAGAACCUCCUUGGACAUGUCGAUCAGUGUGUUUAUAAUUUUAAUGAAGGCAAACAUCCUGAAACCACUGACAUGAAGAAUUUCAGCCCUAACCUUCUGGAGAACAUUGAGGAAAAUCCUGAGUCACUUGAGCAAGAAGCUAGUUCAAAGAAAGACACCCUUUUAGAUGAUCUAAAGAAUCUUGGUCCUGUCCUGUUUCGUAGCUCUAGUGAGUUAUUCGAGCAAGAAGAUCAUGAAGAUCGUUCUUCUCACUCCAGACCUUCUGACAGUUUAUCUGAGAUCACUAGCGCUCAUGCCCAAGUCUGUUCUUCAGCGUCGUCCACGGCACCAAAAUCCAUCAGAGUGAAACAGUGUCCAGAGUUGCUGUGGGACGCCAUGAGCCGCAUUCGCAAACACACCGCUCCUGAUUCAGAGAGUGAGGACGAAGAGGCUGAAUUCUGGGAUUCGGUGGAAAACACAGAAGAUGAUUUGAUUAAUGUGAGUGAAAAGACUGGAAUUAAAGAAGAGGGAUGUGUGCUGGAGGAAAGAUCAGGUUACUCUGGGAAUAACUUAAAGGAUGGGAUUAAAGCGCCAUCAGAAGAAGAGAGACAUCUGGGUGAAAGGAAAGAUGGUGAUGAUGAUGAUGAUGAUGAUGAUGAUGAUUCACUAUCGAGCAGCAGUGUGGACAGUCAGGACACAGUUAUAGAGGGUGAAGGUGAGCUGAACUUUCUGGAAACUGACGAAGAGGAGAAGAAGAACCAGGAAUCUGCUUUAUUCAGUGAGAAAACUGAGAAUAACAUUUAACUGUAAGAAAAAAAAAACACUGUUUUAGACAAUAAUCCAUUAAACUGACGCAUUAUUGUCUACAAACGUAUGCGCGUGCGCCCGCGUGUGUGUGUGAUUGAAUGCAAAGUGGGAAAAUUCCCACACGUCUCCUGUUACACAACACAGUGUUGUAUUUUUGUGCCUCAUGUGGAUUUGACUACAUUAAAAUUAUAAUUCAGUAAAAUGACUAAAAUUUUUAAAAAUAUUUUUAAGUGGAAACAGUUUUACUGACAUAAAAAUGAUUAAACAGAAACUUAAAGUAUUUAAAUUAUGCUUACAUUACUAAAGUCACAAUAAUUCUGAUUAUUAUUAUUAUUAUUA